rnacentral:rRNA from 1 species
CGCAACCCUUGCCUUUAGUUGCCAGCAGUUCGGCUGGGCACUCUAAAGGGAACUGCCGGUGUUAAACCGGACGGAAGGUGGGGAGUGACGUCAAGUCCUCAUGGCCUUUAUGACCAGGGCUACACACGUACUACAAUGGCCGAUACAAAGGGCUGCGACACUGCGAGGUGAAGCCAAUCCCGUAAAAUCGGUCUCAGUCCGGAUUGGAGUCUGCAACUCGACUCCAUGAAGUUGGAAUCGCUAGUAAUCGUGGAUCAGCAUGCCACGGUGAAUACGUUCCCGGGCCUU